CCCCCAAAUCCCCACUUAUGACCCCAAAAUCCCCACUUUUGACCCCAAAACGACGGGUUUGGUAUUGGCGAGCGGCGGGUAACGAACGGCGGGUAAUUAAUGACGCAAUUAACACCAUUCAGACCCAAAUUAGGGGGAUUUUAACCCGAUUUCACUGAGCUCAGCCCCAAUUUGGGGUUCAUUUUGCCCCCAUUUGGGGUCAUUUCACCCCAAAAUCAGCACUCAGUCCCAAUUUGGGGUCACUUCAACCCAAUUUGGGGGUCAUUUUGCCCCAAUUUGGGGUCAUUAUGCCCUAAUUUGGGGUCUUUUUGCCCCAAUUUGGGAUCAUUUCAUCCUAAAAUGAACACUCAGUGCCAAUUUGGGGCCAUUCUGCCCCAGUUUGGGGUCAUUUCAUCCUAAAAUCACCACUUAGGCCCAAUUUGGGGUCAUUUCAACCCAAUUUGGGGUCUUUUUGCCCCAACUUAGGAUCAUUUCACCCCAAAAUCAACACUCAGUCCCAAUUUGGGGUCAUCUCAACCUCAUAUGGGGGUCAUUUUGCCCCAAUUUGGGGUCAUUUCACCCCAAAAUCACCACUUAGCUCCAAUUUGGGGUCAUUUUGCCCCAAAUUUAGGAUCAUUUCAUCCUAAAAUCAACACUCAGUCCCAAUUUGGGGCCAUUUCAACCCAAUUUUGGGGUCAUUUUGCCCCCAUUUGAGGUCAUCUCAACCUCAUCCGGGGGUCAUUUUGCCCCAAUUUGGGGUCAUUUCACCCCAAAAUCACCACUUAGGGACAAAAUGAACGCCAAAUUAGACCAAUUUGGGGUCAUUUCACCCCAAAAUCAGUACUCAGUCCCAAUUUGGGGUCAUUUUGCCCCCAUUUGCGGUCAUUUCACCCCAAAAUCAGCACUCAGUCCCAAUUUGGGGUCAUUUUGCCCCCAUUUGGGGUCAUUUCACCCCAAAAUCAGCACUCAGUCCCAAUUUGGGGUCAUUUUGCCCCCAUUUGGGGUCAUUUCACCCCAAAAUCAGCACUCAGUCCCAAUUUGGGGUCACUUCAACCCAAUUUGGGGGUCAUUUUGCCCCAAUUUGGGGUCAUUAUGCCCUAAUUUGGGGUCUUUUUGCCCCAAUUUAGGAUCAUUUCAUCCUAAAAUCAACACUCAGUCCCGAUUUGGGGUCAUUUUGCCCCAAUUCGGGCUCAUUUCACCCCAAAAACACCACUUAGGCCCAAUUUGGGGUCAUUUCAACCCAAUUUGGGGUCUUUUUGCCCCAACUUAGGAUCAUUUCACCCCAAAAUCAACACUCAGUCCCAAUUUGGGGUCAUUUUUGCCCCCAUUUUGGGGUCAUUUCACCCCAAUCAGCACUCAGUCCCAAUUUGGGGUCAUUUUGCCCCCAUUUGGGGUCAUUUCACCCCAAAAUCACCACUUAACUCCAAUUUGGGGGUCAUUUUGCCCCAAUUGGGGGUCAUUUCACCCCAAAUCCCCCCCCCCCCAGCACAGAGCCCACCCAGGCUGUAAUUAACCCAACCAAUUAACGCUCAUUAACAACAACCACCUCCCAACAGAAGCAUGGGGGGGAGGAGGGGGGUCCCCUUAAUUAACGCACCCCAAUUAAGGGAGGGGAGAGGGAGCAUUAACGACCCCACCCUGACCUCAACGCACACACGCAACCUCUUAAUUAGCGCUAAUUACAAGCCUGCUAAUCACACCGCCGCCUCGUUAGCGCUAACGAAGCCAACAAAGGAAUUUCAAUGACGGUUUGGAGGGGGGAAACCCUAAAAAAGACCCAUUUUUGGGGGGGGGGGGGGGUUGGAUUCCCCCCCCCCAAAAUGCAGCUUUUACUCCUCAUAACCUUAACGAGGUGCUUAAUGAGCUCGUUAAGCCUCGCCGUUAAUUAAGAAAGGAUACAGAGUCCUCCGCCGGCCCCUCUGCAAAGACAACACAGGAAGUUAAUGAGAGCACAGAGCCUGAGAAAUAGGGGGGGGGGGGGGGGGCUGAAGAGCCCCCCCAAAAUGGAGGGGUUUCACCCCAAAAAAGGCUUUUCUGACCCUAUGGAUCUCAAGGGGGGAUGUUGGGGUGCCCCCCCCUCACUUUUUGGUUGCCCCCCCCCCAAAAAAGAUGGGGCAGAGAGGCCAAAAUUGGGGGUUGUUUGGGGGGGGGGGGGGCGUUUUCUAUGUGAAAAAUGCCCUAAAAUGGGAAAAAAUGGGGGGGUUUUCCCCUAUUUUGAUGAGCCCCGUUUGAUUGACCCCCAUUUAUAUGGGGGGGGGGAUGGAAUAAAGACCCCCCCCAAAUAAAAGCCCUAUCCGAGGAGGGGGGGGGGUCAGUUUGGAACCCCCCCCCCAUUUAUUUUAAGCCUUUUUCACUCCUUUUUAGCCCAAAAAUUAACCACCCCCCCCCCAAUAAAAAAAAAUCACCAUUUUUGCCUUUUUCUGCCCCCAUUUUGCCCCAUCCCAAAGCAGAAAAGCCAAAGAGUGGGGGCGGGGGGGGACCCCAAAAGCAUAGGACUGAAUGGGGGGGGGACCCCAACAGCAUAGGACUGAAUGGGAGGGACCCCAAAAGCAUAGGUCUGAAUGGGGGGGGGACACCAACAGCAUAGGACUGAAUGGGAGGGACCCCAAAAGCAUAGGACUGAAUUGAGGGGGGAACCCAAAAGCAUAGGACUGAAUGGGGGGGGGACCCAAAAGCAUAGGACUGAAUUGAGGGGAGACCCCAAAAGCAUAGGACUGAAUUGAGGGGGGGAACCCCAAAAGCAUAGGACUGAAUGGGGGGGGGACCCCAAAAGCAUAGGACUGAAUUGAGGGGGGGACCAAAAGCAAUAGGACUGAAUUGAGGGGGGGACCCCAAAAGCAUAGGACUGAAUUGAGGGGGAGACCCCAAAGCAUAGGACUGAAUUGAGGGGGGGACCCAAAAGCAUAGGACUGAAUUGAGGGGGGGGGACCCCAAAAGCAUAGGACUGAAUGGGGGGGGGGACCCAAAAAGCAUAGGACUGAAUGGGGGGGGGGGGGAAGGAGGGGGGCUUUGGGAAAUGCUCCCACAGCACUGAGCUGUUUUGGGGUGAAAAGGGGGGAAAAUGGUCAAAUUUGGGGUACGGGGGGGAAAGGGGGGGGGAUAUAUGAAAAUGAGAGAGAUUGGUGUUAAUUAGAAAGGCAGUGAGGCGUAAUUAAGGCCGGCGGUUAAUGAGGAUCGGUGCUGCUUACCCCAAUGGUGGUUGUUGAAGUUCCUACAGCUCCAACACAGCGCUGAGUAAAUGGGGCAGAAUUGGUCAAUUUUGGGGGGGUUUGGUAGGAAAUUGGGGG
ensembl:lncRNA